CGAAAAGCUACCACCAAACUUGAACUUAGUUGUAAGCGACAAAAAUUGGCAGACAUCACAGAUGGAACGAACAGUAAUCACUUGUUAACAGAUCAUCAGCUGAUGAUUCUUGCAAUGAAAAUGGGUAAAGACUGGAAAGUCAUUGGUAUUGGAUGUCUGAAGUUGACCUUGCAAGAUAUCGAACAGAUUGAAGCAAAAGAAGAAGAUGUUAAUAUGUAUAAAUGUAUGAUGCUGCGGAAGUGGAGAGAUUCUGAACAAAAUAAUGGAACAGCCCACAAUUUAUAUAAAUGUCUUGAUGGUCAAGUAUCCCAUGAGCUGCUAGAACUCCUGAAAGGUUUUUUGCAACAAACGUGAGUUCAUAUGGAACCAACUUCAAACAGAAAUAUUGGGAACAUUCUUUUGUAAAUUUUCCAGCUGCCUAAAAGGAAUUUUAGUACUUGGCAGGAACUUAGAAACACUUUAAAACUAAGAAAGAAAAUGAUGGACCAAUUGUUGAAACUCAGGAUUAAAUAUGGUUUGGGAAGGAAGCAAAGUGAGUAGAAUCAUGAACUUCUGCAAAGGCAUUUCCCCCUACACUUUACUCAUAGGUUCCCAGAGACCAUUUGCACAAUCAACAAUUCCUUCACAUCCAGGAGAACUGGUGCUUUCCCAAAAUGUUUUCAGUUUUUGUUUGGAUGAGGUGUGCCUCCCCUCCAACACAUAUAAAAAUAUCAAUCUGGCGUAGUGUUGUAAAGGCACUUUCGAACUGUGCAUGCCCCAAAAUAGAAGCAUUCAAAGUUUACAGGUAGCCUCAAAUGUUCUCAUUCUAAAUUCUAUCUCUACUGUAGCAUUCAGACUUUUUUUCUGGCUACUAUAUUUGUUUCUUGGAAGAUAUUAUGGUUGUCCUUCUGUAAGAUGCAACUGAAGGGCAUGUUGCAUGCCCACAUUUUUCUGUGAUAUUUGUUACCCCUAGACCUUGUUUUUAAUUUAGAGGGCUGGCACAAUGUUUAGAAAUCCCCUGCUUUUUUAUUCAAAAGUAUAUUAAAACAGUUCAACAAUUCAUGUGAAGAAAAGCUGAUUUUCAGAGGAUUUGUAUAUAGAACGAUACAAAUUUGCAUAAAUAAUUCCUGUUUUAAAUGAUAGUUUUGUUUUAGUGAGUGUUAAGAAGCAUUGAUGAAAUCCAAUUGUCAAAAUACAAGAAAUACUUACCCAUUAUUUCUCCUGA
rnacentral:lncRNA from 1 species